rnacentral:rRNA from 1 species
CGGCGAGUGAAGCGGCAACAGCUCAAAUUUGAAAUCUGGCUCUUUCAGGGUCCGAGUUGUAAUUUGUAGAGGGUGUUUCGGGUGCGGCGCCGGUCUAAGUCCCUUGGAACAGGGCGUCAUAGAGGGUGAGAAUCCCGUAUGUGACUGGCGACCAACCCCGUGUGAAACCCCUUCGACGAGUCGAGUUGUUUGGGAAUGCAGCUCAAAAUGGGUGGUAAAUUUCAUCUAAAGCUAAAUACCGGCCAGAGACCGAUAGCGCACAAGUAGAGUGAUCGAAAGAUGAAAAGCACUUUGGAAAGAGAGUCAAAAAGUACGUGAAAUUGUUGAAAGGGAAGCGCUUGCGACCAGACCUGUCCGCCGGCGAUCAGCCUCGGUUUUCCGGGGUGCACUCGUCGGCGAUCAGGCCAGCAUCGGUUCGGGCGGCGGGUAAAAGGCCUUGGGAAUGUGGCUUCCUCUCGGGGAAGUGUUAUAGCCCUCGGUGCAAUACCGCCAGCCCGGACCGAGGACCGCGCUUCGGCUAGGAUGCUGGCGUAAUGGUCGUAAGCGACCCGUCUUGAAACACGGACCAAGGAGUCUAAUAUCUAUGCGAGUGUUUGGGUGUCAAACCCAUACGCGUAAUGAAAGUGAACGGAGGUGAGAACCCUUAAGGGCGCAUCAUCGACCGAUCCAGAUGUCUUCGGAUGGAUUUGAGUACGAGCAUAGCUAUUGGGACCCGAAAGAUGGUGAACUAUGCCUGAAUAGGGUGAAGCCAGAGGAAACUCUGGUGGAGCUCGCAGCGGUUCUGACGUGCAAAUCGAUCGUCAAAUUUGGGUAUAGGGGCGUGCUUUCGCCCCUGACAGGCCGUGCCCCCCGGGGCAUGGCUCCUAGUCUUUCGAGGCGAGGUCUACGAUCUGCGGGGAUGUCUGGUUCGGUCGGACUGCCCGCACCCAGCCGUUUUAAGGCUCGGGUCACAGGUCAAGCAUAGGCCGGAGGCCGGUUUUCGGCCACUUCUGAUAUGAUCGCACCGGGGUUGAUGAAGCCCCGGGCCAAUGGGAAAGACUAAUCGAACC